AUACUUACCUGGUGCCGGACCUCGUUGAUCCCCGAGGGCGAGGCGCGGACAUUGCACUGCGCUGGCGUUGACCCCUGCCACUAUCCCAAGCUGGGUAAAAUAGGGCAUGGAAAUGGC
rnacentral:snRNA from 1 species